GAAAAAAGUGCCGAGAGAGUUACCGAAAAAAGUGUGCCAUCCAGUGUCCAGUGUAGAACAUCGUCGUGGAAGUUUUCACCGGAAAAUCCAUCAAGACGUCUUCGAGUUAUGCGAAAACGAACACAGACCGUUUAAUCGUGGACAAAUUCUAGUGCUUUACCGCAGUGUUUCCUGUUGUGCGGUAACCAAGUAUCGGUGAUAGUCCUGGACUUAAUACCAAUUUUUAAUCGGAUACUCUGGGCUUGGCAUCUAUUGAGUGUGAGUAUUUAGUAGUAAAUAAUUUGUUGAGG